rnacentral:rRNA from 1 species
GGGCCCGCACAAGCGGUGGAGCAUGUGGUUUAAUUCGAUGAUACGCGAGGAACCUUACCAGGGCUUAAAUGUAAGUUGCAUAGAUCAGAGAUGGUCUUUUCUUCGGACUACUUACAAGGUGCUGCAUGGUUGUCGUCAGCUCGUGCCGUGAGGUGUCAGGUUAAGUCCUAUAACGAGCGCAACCCCUGUCGUUAGUUACCAGCAAGUAAUGUUGGGUACUCUAGCGAGACUGCCGGUGCAAACCGUGAGGAAGGUGGGGAUGACGUCAAAUCAUCACGGCCCUUACGUCCUGGGCUACACACGUGCUACAAUGGUAUUUACAACAGGAAGCAAGACGGCGACGUUAAGCAAAUCCUUAAAAAAUACCUCAGUUCGGAUUGCACUCUGCAACUCGAGUGCAUGAAGCUGGAAUUACUAGUAAUCG